rnacentral:rRNA from 1 species
UACGUAGGGUGCAAGCGUUAAUCGGAAUUACUGGGCGUAAAGCGUGCGCAGGCGGUUUUGUAAGUCGGUCGUGAAAGUCCCGGGCUCAACCUGGGAAUUGCGAUGGAGACUGCAAGGCUUGAAUCUGGCAGAGGGGGGUAGAAUUCCGCGUGUAGCAGUGAAAUGCGUAGAGAUGUGGAGGAACACCGAUGGCGAAGGCAGCCCCCUGGGUCAAGAUUGACGCUCAUGCACGGAAGCGUGGGGAGCAAACAGG